CUUUGGCUUUUUUAUUAGAUAAUCGAUAUGACCAUAUUAAAACAACAGAGUAAACUUAGUGAUUCUCAUAUACUUCAUUAUUGCAGCCAUUUGACCGGGCAGCAUAUUUUAGCAAACUGCAUGUCACAGACCAUCAAUACGGCUCUAAUCAGGGUUAGUUAUGGCUGUACUAUAAUGGCCAAGCCUCCUGUGGUCACUGGUCCACUAUAUGAUUGCUCUAUGUAUGUGUGUGCUGUGGAAACUAGCAGAAAGAGAAUGGGAUGCUCAGCAUUUGCACUAACAAUUUGAUUAUGUUGUUGAAUUACUGUUAUAUAGAUCUGCUGAGGCAUUCAUUUCACCGUAUGAAGAGAGAGAGAGAGAGACAGUCUGCGGUAUAUGAAUACCAUAAGUGUGUUUGUUGUGGUAUCUGUGAUGUUUUAAUCACUGUUUAUUUAGUUUGUUGUGUGGGUGCCAAUGUUCCUCUGAGAGAUUUGCUGUGAAAUACAACCCUUGAGCUGUCAUUACUAUGAAAACAUUUCUGAUAGCCUGGAUAUGAUAAUGCUAUUUUGUCUAAGAACAUUGUGCUGUGGAUGGCAAGACUUAUGCAGCCAAUGCCACUGUGACUCAAACAAUGAUAAAAACAUCUAAUUUCAUUUUUAAGAACUUUGCAUAGUAUUCAAUGCCUGUGAUCUUCAACAGUUAGUGACUCAUUCAGUAAUGCAGGCCUUGUAUCUUUCUAGCGCUAUAUUUCGGUCCAGUCGCUUCCAUUCAGCAGCAGUGCGGACACAAGACAGGUGUCAUCUUCCCUGACCAUGGAGGCAGCUAGGCCUAACCCAGAUUGCGCUCUGAGACGGAUCAGUCCCUUGUUGGCAGUAAUUGGGUGCUGGCCUGGGUUAAUGCGCUCACCACCAUUAAUGAAAACGUUGAGCUGUAAGUGGGACUGUAUGAAACGGAGAACGUUCUCAAUAGCCUCCAAACAGUCACCAGGGUCCAUUCUGCAGCAGGCCAGGCCCAGCUUUUAUUGGAGUGAAGUGAAGCAUGAUUUCUGUGAGGGAAAGAUGGAGCCAGUUAUAUUCAAAGCUGUAAGCCAGACGGCUGAAUGAAAUAACCUUCUUUUUCUAAGAUAAAGAGAAUCUCUUGGGUAAGUCAGGUGAAUAAAGGCCCACACAGAGAGUAAAAAUACAAUGAAAGACACACACACACACACACACACACACACACACACACACACACACACACACAUACAUUUGUGAAAUACAGUGCUAGAUCAAAUCUAUUUACAAUUUCUCAGGAUACAUUAUUAAUAAAAAUCCUUGUUUUGAUAUUGCAAUAGUAAUAAAAUAAAACAUAAAAAAAGCAAUCUUAAAUGUUUUGAAAUGUACAGUAUGUGCAUUCAUUGACAUACAUGUCAUAGUUUUAAAAGCAAAUCCCCUAAAUAUAUUCAUGACUUCAUUCAGUGAGAGUUACUUAAUUUGCUCUCUUUUCCUCCCUUUCUGUACCUGCUUUUGUUGUGCUUAAUCCAGAAAGAAGCUGGCUUAUUUUCUUGUGGAGUCUCAGAAUGAGAGCUUUCUAAACAACCAUAUGUAUACUAGUGUAGUUCUAGUUUUCAUGCCACCAAAAGUGAAAGCCCGGCCAAAUGACAGUGAAACACUGAAGAAAAAUUUAUUUAUUGUAAAUAACUUUGGUCUAUAACACAGUAUCUAUAUGCUUUCAUAGUAGUGUGUAUGUUUGGAUAGUGUGUGUGUGUAUUUGUGUGUGUGUGUAUCCAGACAGCACCACCAGCAGACAGUGGGGUCACCAUCUCAGCAUUGGUAACCAUCGGCAACAGACCUCUUUAAUGGGAGUUAAUCAUGUACCCUGAGGUAACAUGAGAAAAGCGGUUCUGUGUGUUAAACUGUUGCAUUGAGCCGGGAUUGGUUGAUGAGGGUUGUUACAGGAUUUCCUGUCAACACUGUAGUUGCAUUCACACAAACAUAAGAUGGAAAAACAUGGUGUGUAAAAUUGUGGAUCAGUAACGAAACUGAGUUAGAAUGGACAUCAGAAUGUUCUUUAAAAAA
ensembl:lncRNA